rnacentral:lncRNA from 1 species
GAGGUUUAUUUCAUUCCUUAAGGCUGAAUAAAUAAAACAAUGCUUGCCUUGAAGGGUGAAGAUGAAAAGCAUCCUUUCACCAUGACUCACCUGAUGGGUUUUGCUUACAUAUUCAAUACAUCAAGAAGCAUAUUGGAAAACCAGCUGAACAGCUACAGCAAAGAGGUGCAACACAUGAUGAGAAGUAAGUGUGGGACUAAUAUGAAGCAGAUCGUGGAGGAAGUACAAAGUAUCUGCAGUUUCCUGAGCAACGUGUCAUCCAGAGAAGUGGAGGAUGGCAUUGCUGAAAUCCAGCGAGUCAUACCUCUGAACCCGGAUCCCUCUGAGUGUGAGACAAGGGUCCUGGAGCUCCAUCAGGCCUUGCGCAAGCUGCUGCACACCUUCUUCUCAAAUUUCGAGUCUGACUUUGGCAGCGAGGAGGUGCUCCCCACUCGACCCAAGGCCAACGUGAGCCAUCACGAGGAUGUGCUCCAGCUGGACCUUGCCGCGCUCUACAGGGUGAAGUCAACCUGGCUCAGCAGCUUUGAUUUCUUCUCCAUUUCCUGCAAGCUGACGUACGGCUCCCAGGAGCUGUGUGAGACGGCACUCUCGGAGAACAUCGCCACAGCCUUGUCUCUGGGCAACAAGCUGCAGUGCAGCAGAAUGUGAGACCAUCUGAUGUUCUUCCCUGCAUUUGAAGUUCAUCUCACCUUUCAUGUGAUCC